rnacentral:rRNA from 1 species
AAGGCGCUUGCCUCCUUGAUGAUGCUCAUUUCAUGGGAGAUUUGAUUAGAGCGCAAUGCUAGGAUCUUUCACGACACCAUCGUACCUCCAAUGGUUGUUAUCAACAAGAUUAAAGAGGAGAUGUGUCUUUGGGCCCUGACGGGCACAAAACAUUUGGGUAAUGUAAUGUUGCAAGAGCAUACUUCAUUUUACCAUUCGGGUAUUGUAAUGUUGCAAGAGCAUACUUCAUUUUACUUGUAG